UACGUAGGGUGCGAGCGUUAAUCGGAAUUACUGGGCGUAAAGUGUGCGCAGGCGGCACCGCAAGUCGAGUGUGAAAGCCCCGGGCUUAACCUGGGAACUGCAUUUGUGACUGCAUCGCUGGAGUGCGGCAGAGGGGGAUGGAAUUCCGCGUGUAGCAGGUGAAAUUCGUAGAUAUCGGGAGGAACACCAGUGGCGAAGGCGGCGACCUGGGCAGAUACUGACACUGAGGUGCGAAAGCGUGGGGAGCAAACAGG
rnacentral:rRNA from 1 species